rnacentral:rRNA from 1 species
GAACCGGAGCUAAUACCGGAUAAUAUAUUGAACCGCAUGGUUCAAUAGUGAAAGACGGUUUUGCUGUCACUUAUAGAUGGAUCCGCGCCGCAUUAGCUAGUUGGUAAGGUAACGGCUUACCAAGGCAACGAUGCGUAGCCGACCUGAGAGGGUGAUCGGCCACACUGGAACUGAGACGCGGUCCAG